AGGGCCCGGGAGGCAGGUGGCCACCCUGACCGUGACCGCUCUUUGUCUAUCCUUUGACCCUGCUGUUUGGCCGCACUUGGCUCCCGGGGCGCUCCCGCGCUCCUGCUUCCCAGCCGCCACCCCGCGAGCCUCGCUUCACUUUCCAGCCCACUGUCGUCGGCUUGGCCGCAGGCGGCGGGGUCGGCGACCGCGCCAGCCCGGAAAGCUGGCGGGGUUAGCGAGAGCCGGGGACCUGAACUCCUUUGGUAAGAGGAGCCGCGCUCGCCGCGAGCCAAGUCAACGUUUCGGGAGCAGUUCGCUGAAGGCGGCGGGGCAGAGGGCGCUCAGACUUCGAGAAACUCUUAAUUGCAGCGAGCUCAGUUUCUGCUAAGAUCAAAGCCGCCGGGGUUUAGGAACUUGGGACCAGAAGGAGCCGGGGUGUCGCGAGCGAGCCGUUCGCUGUGCGGCGGCCACGUUCGGCGCCCCGCGCAGCGUUGCCGGCGGCUGUUCGGAUCUCCACGCCGACCCACCCACCCCCUCCCCGACUCCCACCCGGCAGUAUUUGAGGUGCUGCGCCUACACCUGCGUCCCCUCGGCUCUGGGGUCAGAAGAGAGGCAAGCUGAGGUCUGCAGGAGUAUUUAAAAGCAGAAGCAGUAUGACCAGCUGCUCCACAGUCCCACCACCAAGCUGGUAUCUGCACCAUGAUGGACUGUCUUUCUUCAGACCGUGAGCCAAGCUACCCCCUUCCUCCCUGAGCUGCUUCUGCUCACAGCGAUUAGAUAAGCAAUUAAUACAGUGACCACCUGCCUACUGCCUGGAAGCUUUUCUUCUGACUCUGAAAUUUUACUAAAAUGGGCCUUGAGAUAGGAUGAAGACAGUUCCAAGACAGUUUGAAUAUUUUCACAUAUGGAAGGGAGGGAUUGGGACGGGAGGAGGGAGAGAACCACAG